UACGGAGGGUGCAAGCGUUGUUCGGAAUUACUGGGCGUAAAGGGCGUGCAGGCGGUUUGGCAAGUCAGAUGUGAAAUCCUUCCGCUCAACGGAAGAAGUGCAUUUGAAACUGUCAUUCUAGAGUAUGGGAGAGGAGAGUGGAAUUCCCAGUGUAGAGGUGAAAUUCGUAGAUAUUGGGAGGAACACCCGUGGCGAAGGCGACUCUCUGGACCAAUACUGACGCUGAGACGCGAAAGCGUGGGGAGCAAACAGG
rnacentral:rRNA from 1 species